rnacentral:rRNA from 1 species
AGCAGCCGCGGUAAUUCCAGCUCCAAUAGCGUAUAUUAAAGUUGUUGCAGUUAAAAAGCUCGUAGUUGAAUUUUGAAAUUUUUUAUCGGUUGAAUCAACAGGUUCUUACUGAUUUUAAGAAUUUCUACCUUCUGGAGAACCUUAAUGUCAUUUAUUUGAUGUUUUGGGAAACCAGGACUGUUACCUUGAAAAAUUAGAGUGUUUAAAGCAGGCUUAUGUCUGAAUAUAUUAGCAUGGAAUAAUGAAAUAGGACGGCAUGGUUCUAUUUUGUUGGUUUCUAGGAUCACCGUAAUGAUUAAUAGGGAUAGUUGGGGGCAUUAGUAUUCAAUUGUCAGAGGUGAAAUUCUUGGAUUUAUUGAAGACUAACUUCUGCGAAAGCAUUUGCCAAGGAUGUUUUCAUUAAUCAAGAACGAAAGUUAGGGGAUCGAAGACGAUCAGAUACCGUCGUAG